rnacentral:sRNA from 1 species
GAUAUAUGUGGGUGUCUGCCUGUUUUGGUUCCCCCUCCCCAAGAUGUCAGCAGUUUAGUUUAAAUGUUUUCUUCUAAGUUAUAGGAAUGAUCUGCUUGGAUGUAAUGAAUCAGGUAUUUGUUUUCCAGGAAUGUCACGGCCCAGAGUCAUUUAGAUUUAAAGGUCUGGAGCUGCCAUACCUUGAGAAAUGAACUGCUAGGCACCGCGUCUGUCAACCUCUCCAACGUCUUGAAGAACAAUGGGGGCAAAAUGGAGAACACGCAGCUGACCCUGAACCUGCAGACGGAGAACAAAGGCAGCGUUGUCUCAGGCGGAGAGCUGACAAUUUUCCUGGACGGGCCAACUGUUGAUCUGGGAAAUGUGCCUAAUGGCAGUGCCCUGACAGAUGGAUCACAGCUGCCUUCGAGAGACUCCAGUGGAACAGCAGUAGCUCCAGAGAACCGGCACCAGCCCCCCAGCACAAACUGCUUUGGUGGAAGAUCCCGGACGCACAGACAUUCAGGUGCUUCAGCCAGAACAACCCCAGCAACCGGCGAGCAAAGCCCCG